GACGAACGCUGGCGGCGUGCUUAACACAUGCAAGUCGAACGGAAAGGCCCUGCUUUUGUGGGGUGCUCGAGUGGCGAACGGGUGAGUAACAAGUGAGUAACCUGCCCUUGACUUUGGGAUAACUUCAGGAAACUGGGGCUAAUACCGGAUAGGAGCUCCUGCUGCAUGGUGGGGGUUGGAAAGUUUCGGCGGUUGGGGAUGGACUCGCGGCUUAUCAGCUUGUUGGUGGGGUAGUGGCUUACCAAGGCUUUGACGGGUAGCCGGCCUGAGAGGGUGACCGGCUACAUUGGGACUGAGAUACGGCCCAGACUCCCACGGGAGGCAGCAGUGGGGAAUAUUGCACAAUGGGCGGAAGCCUGAUGCAGCAACACCGCGUGCGGGAUGACGGCCUUCGGGUUGUAAACCGCUUUCGCCUGUGACGAAGCGUAAGUGACGGUAAUGGGUAAAGAAGCACCGGCUAACUACGUG
rnacentral:rRNA from 1 species